CUACGUGCCAGCAGCCGCGGUAAUACGGAAGGUCCGGGCGUUAUCCGGAUUUAUUGGGUUUAAAGGGAGCGUAGGCUGGAGAUUAAGUGUGUUGUGAAAUGUAGACGCUCAACGUCUGACUUGCAGCGCAUACUGGUUUCCUUGAGUACGCACAACGUUGGCGGAAUUCGUCGUGUAGCGGUGAAAUGCUUAGAUAUGACGAAGAACUCCGAUUGCGAAGGCAGCUGACGGGAGCGCAACUGACGCUUAAGCUCGAAGGUGCGGGUAUCGAACAGGAUUAGAUACCCUGGUAGUCCGCACAGUAAACGAUGGAUGCCCGCUGUUAGCGCCUGGCGUUAGCGGCUAAGCGAAAGCAUUAAGCAUCCCACCUGGGGAGUACGCUGGCAACGGUGAAACUCAAAGGAAUUGACGGGGGCCCGCACAAGCGGAGGAACAUGUGGUUUAAUUCGAUGAUACGCGAGGAACCUUACCCGGGCUUGAA
rnacentral:rRNA from 1 species